GACGAACGCUGGCGGCGUGCCUAAUACAUGCAAGUAGAACGCAGUUGCGAACGGGGGAGUAAAGCGUAGGUAACAGCCUGGUAGCGGGGGAUAACUAUUGGAAACGAGAGGUAAUAACGCAUACUAACAGAGGGACCUGCGUUGUAUUAGCUAGUUGGUGGGGUAACGGCUCACCAAGGCAACGAUACAUAGCCGACCGGGGAGGGUGAUCGGCCACACUGGGACUGAGACACGGCCCAGACUCCUCCGGGAGGCAGCAGUAGGGAAUCUUCGGCAAUGGACGGAAGUCUGACCGAGCAACGCCGCGUGAGUGAAGAAGGUUUUCGGAUCUUAAAGCUCUGUUGUAAGAGAAGCGGUAUCUUACCAGAAAGGGACGGCUAACUACGUGCCAGCAGCCGCGGUAAUUC
rnacentral:rRNA from 1 species